GCUUGCUUUUGAAAGGUCAGCGGCGGACGGGUGAGUAACACGUGGGCAACCUGCCUGUAAGACUGGGAUAACUUCGGGAAACCGGAGCUAAUACCGGAUAAUAUAAGGAACCUCCUGGUUCUUUAUUGAAAGAUGGUUUCGGCUAUCACUUACAGAUGGGCCCGCGGCGCAUUAGCUAGUUGGUGAGGUAACGGCUCACCAAGGCGACGAUGCGUAGCCGACCUGAGAGGGUGAUCGGCCACACUGGGACUGAGACACGGCCCAGACUCCUACGGGAGGCAGCAGUAGGGAAUCUUCCACAAUGGACGAAAGUCUGAUGGAGCAACGCCGCGUGAGCGAUGAAGGCCUUCGGGUCGUAAAGCUCUGUUGUUAGGGAAGAACAAGUGCGAGAGUAACUGCUCGCACCUUGACG
rnacentral:rRNA from 1 species